rnacentral:lncRNA from 1 species
GUCACGUUUGUUUUACUCUUUGGAUGACAAACUUUCUCUCUGGUAGUGCCCUUUUAAAAUCUCCUUUUACAGUCCUCCAGGCCUUGGUGCAGGCUGCUUUAAAAGCCAGACAUCUCCCUGAGGACCCAGAGCAUGAUGGCAUACUUUGACAGGUACAACUUCUGACAACAUCUCAAGCCAUCAGGUAAAUAAGAGAAGUGAAUGUUCCCUUCAUAAAAAGGUUGUUUUUGAUGUUUAAAGCACCAUAUUCCAUUUCAUUAUGGCAAUGCUGGACAGACUUAAUGAAUGUUUAACUUUGAUCCUUCAGAUUUGAUGUGAGGAAUAUCAGAUCUCAAGAAAAGCGGUAGGAUUUGGAUCUGUAUUCAUCACAU